CGCUAGGCUUGACCGGGACGUUCGGCGUGUCCUUGUACACCGUAAUCGUCGAUACGCGGGGGUGACAGCGGGGGACGUCGUAUCCGGAGCGCUAGAGGCCCAAUCAUUGGCGUUGAGGCCCUGUCCUACGGGGUCGGAGGCAGCAUCGCGGUGCAGCUGGAGGGCGGCACCCCUUGCUCUGAUCAUGGAGAACGGGUCAGGCCCUGACGGGAACAGCCUUACCAUGGACUACCUACGCUCGAAGGGUAGCGGGGCUGAGUCUGUGAUUGGACCACCUCUAUCGGUUCGGGCGGCUACCCCCGUGGCCUAGCU
rnacentral:SRP_RNA from 1 species